rnacentral:rRNA from 1 species
UACGGAGGGUGCAAGCGUUAUCCGGAUUUACUGGGUUUAAAGGGUGCGUAGGCGGCUUUUUAAGUCAGUGGUGAAAUCCUAGUGCUCAACACUAGAACUGCCAUUGAAACUAAAAAGCUCGAGUCAAGGAGAGGUAAGCAGAAUUUAUGGUGUAGCAGUGAAAUGCUUAGAUACCAUAAGGAAUACCAAUAGCGAAGGCAGCUUACUGGCCUUGCACUGACGCUGAGGCACGAAAGCGUGGGGAGCAAACAGG